UACAGAGGGUGCGAGCGUUAAUCGGAAUUACUGGGCGUAAAGCGUGCGUAGACGGUUAUGUAAGUCAGAUGUGAAAGCCCCGGGCUCAACCUGGGAAUUGCAUUUGAGACUGCAUAGCUAGGAUGCGGAAGAGGGAAGUGGAAUUUCCGGUGUAGCGGUGAAAUGCGUAGAUAUCGGAAGGAACAUCAGUGGCGAAAGCGACUUCCUGGUCCAGCAUCGACGUUCAGGCACGAAAGCGUGGGGAGCGAACAGG
rnacentral:rRNA from 1 species